AUGUUGUUUGGCUUCAAGAUGCUGCUUUACUUCUUUUAUCUUUCUUUUCUAGUCUGGCCUCCUGAUUAUCUCCACUGAAUGUAUAGUUUAGCUAUCUGCAUAUAGUUUAGCUGGCAGCAAAUAUUUGUACAGAAUUUAUCCUCAGAUCUUAAGACUCUUUCUCUCUGUAUUUUCCUAGAUGUGUAGUUCCUUUAACACUUCUUAAUUCUGCUGUCUAACAACUCAAGCCAAUAUGGUGUCCACUUGCAGCCUUCAAAUCUAUAUGGUACCAGAGGAAUACACUCA
rnacentral:lncRNA from 1 species